rnacentral:rRNA from 1 species
GAAUAUUGCCCAAUGGACGAAAGUCUGAGGCAGCAACGCCGCGUGCGCGAUGAAGGCCUUCGGGUCGUAAAGCGCUUUUCGGUGGGAUGAGGAAGGACCGUACCACCGGAAUAAGGUACGGCUAACUACGUGCCAGCAGCCGCGGUAAAACGUAGAUACCGAGCGUUAUCCGGAUUUACUGGGCGUAAAGCGCGUUCAGGCGGUCUGGCAAGUCGGGCAUGAAAUCUCUCGGCUCAACCGGGAGGGGUUGUCCGAUACUGCUGGACUUGCGGGCAGUAGAGGGUGGUGGAAUUCCGGGUGUAGUGGUGAAAUGCGUAGAGAUCCGGAGGAACACCAGUGGCGAAGGCGGCCACCUGGACUGUACCUGACGCUCAAACGCGAAAGCUAGGGGAGCGAACGGG